rnacentral:rRNA from 1 species
AUGCAGUUCAGGGAGUCUUCCUGCUGCAGAUUGGACACCCUGCACCCAAUCUCCGACACUGUAACCCAUGUACGCCUCGGCGCUGCUGCUCGCGGCCAGGAUCUGGCGCCCAGCAUCCCCAUCGCCUCCAUGUUGCGCGAGCACCGGUGGGUGCAGGCGGCUGUCUUGUCAUCGCAGGUAGAGGAGAACUCGGCCUACAGUUGGAUGGCACACCCACCAGCGACGGAGAGCCACCUCCCGCCGCCGGCCGGCCAUCCCCGAGUCGUCUGUGGCUCUCGCCCUAGCUUUGGAUCCAGCGAGCACCUUAGGGGCGCGCCGGCGAUGCAGGCCACGUACCUCUCCCCAAUCUCUGCAACGAGAAGCCACCGACUGCGGACGGCGAGCUCCUGGAUCCUGCUGAUCUCGCUGUCCCCAACCCACAUGCGUGGCACGGACAUCGUUUCCUAUGACAGUUUCCGACACCCUGUGGUGUUGUUACCGUCAGCUACACCCUGUGGUAUUUGGUUUAAAUUACAGGAUUUUGCAAUUCAUGGUGUCGACGCAGAUUUUCUACCCUAUGAUGAUGAUGGGGACUUUGAUGAGGCAAUUGAUCUUGAUGAUGAUGAGGAUGAGCCAAAUCCUGACGAAUUCCAGUCUCAUGAUGCACUUAGUGGCUGGUCUUCUCGUACCAAGGGUGUUGCAAGAUAUCUCAAGACUUUAUUCGAUGAAGAGUCUGGUCGGGGGAGAAAGAAUGUUGUCAUUGAUCAUCUGGUAAAUGGAAAGUCUCGGAAAGAAGCCUCAAGGAUGUUCUUCGAGACCUUGAAAAAGGUGUGUGGAGGCAUGUAG